UCGGGAAUUUUGGGCAAUGGGGGAAACCCUGACCCAGCAACGCCGCGUGAAGGAUGAAGUAUUUCGGUAUGUAAACUUCGAAAGAAUAGGAAGAAUAAAUGACGGUACUAUUUAUAAGGUCCGGCUAACUCCGUGCCAGCAGCCGCGGUAAUACGGAGGGAGCUAGCGUUGUUCGGAAUUACUGGGCGUAAAGCGUACGUAGGCGGUGACUCAAGUCAGAGGUGAAAGCCUGGAGCUCAACUCCAGAACUGCCUUUGAAACUAGGUCGCUAGAAUCACGGAGAGGUGAGUGGAAUUCCGAGUGUAGAGGUGAAAUUCGUAGAUAUUCGGAAGAACACCAGUGGCGAAGGCGGCUCACUGGACGUGUAUUGACGCUGAGGUACGAAAGCGUGGGGAGCAAACAGGAUUAGAUACCCUCGUAGUCCCUGAGCGGGCUGGCAAGGCGCAU
rnacentral:rRNA from 1 species